rnacentral:rRNA from 1 species
GACGAACCGAGCGAACGUUAUUCGGAAUCACUGGGCUUAAAGGGCGCGUAGGCGGGCGGCCAAGUCAGGGGUGAAAGCCCCCAGCUCAAUUGGGGAAGUGCCUCUGAUACUGGUCAUCUCGAGGGAGAUAGGGGCGUGCGGAACUUCCGGUGGAGCGGUGAAAUGCGUAGAUAUCGGAAGGAACACCGGUGGCGAAAGCGGCGCGCUGGAUCUCUUCUGACGCUGAGGCGCGAAAGCCAGGGGAGCGAAUGGG